rnacentral:lncRNA from 1 species
CUCCACUCUCCUUCAAGAAAACACUUCAGUUUCCCAGUGAAGAAUCAGGAUCAUGACUCUGACCAAUGUGUGGUAGCAGCUUGUGAGUAGGAAGAUGGAAGAAUCUCCAUCUCUUUUGGCAUCAUGGAACUGUCCUGCAUGGCUUACUUCCAGACUUUGUUAUAAACUGUCACAGUCCAAAUUCCCAAUAAAUGCCUUCUGGACUGAAUUCAGGUGGGAGAAAUAAAAGGAAAAUGCAAGCCGUGUUUAGGAAAUGAAUAAUUCUCUGCAACAAUCAAGACCAAUUGCAUUAAGACAAAAAGUUUACAAAAUGACAAGAUCAUUACAUAAUUUACAACUCUGUUGAUAGAGUACCUAUACAAGUAACACUAAGUAUGUAUAAUGAGCACACUGUACAUACUUCAAAAUUUGCCAUUUAAUUGUAUUAUAUGGUAGCCCAUUUGAUUAAUAUGGGCAACAUUAGUGUAAAUUGGCAAAGCAACUACUACAUGUGUAAACAAUGCCACUUCA